UACGUAGGGUGCAAGCGUUGUCCGGAAUUAUUGGGCGUAAAGAGCGUGUAGGCGGCCAGGUAGGUCUGCUGUGAAAACUCGAGGCUCAACCUCGAGCUGUCGGUGGAAACCAUCUGGCUAGAGUCCGGAAGAGGAGAGUGGAAUUCCCGGUGUAGCGGUGAAAUGCGCAGAUAUCGGGAAGAACACCCGUGGCGAAGGCGGCUCUCUGGGACGGUACUGACGCUGAGACGCGAAAGCGUGGGGAGCAAACAGG
rnacentral:rRNA from 1 species